AAGGAUUCCUAUAUAAUCCGGUGGUCGAGGUGGGACUACUCAUAGAGGCGGUGCUCAAUCAGGCCAUGGUGUUCUAGGGGUGGGUCCCAGCCAGCUAGAGGUGGCAUUCAAAAUACGAGAGGGGGAUCCCAGACUGGGCGUGGUGGAGCCCAUUAUUACUCAUUUCCUGGAAGGCCCGAGGCAGAGGCCUCAGAUAUUGUGAUCUCAGACUAGCAAGUUGGGAUAAAUAAGCGUAGCUAAUAAGGUGUGGCACAGGUACACCCAGAUAAGUGGAAGAAAUUGCAGAAGAUGUUCCAGCGAAGUUGGCAAGCUCCGUUUUGUUCCUGGAGUGUUGCGGAGUCAGAGUUUGUAUGAUAUGCUUUAUGGAUUGAUGUUAGAGACUUUACAGACAGAGUCGUGGGUAUUGGUUGUCAGUUCUGUAAGCGGCUCCAUCAGCCGAUGUGUCAUUUGCGUUAUGAUAUAUGUUCUAUAUGAUUACAGAUUUUAUUUGGUUUGAAAGCAAUGAAAAAGAAUAUUUCUGUAAAUUGUGCUAUACAUUUCAUCUUUAUUGAUUUAAAAAUUCCAAAGAUUAUAUAUGUAAUAGAAGUCAGCGGGUUCGCUCGGCCCUAAGUAAGGGUCGGGUGCCCAUCACGCCCUAGGGAUAUUAGGGUGUGACACAUAGACUCAUAAUUUCGGUUAUGUAGGAAGAUCAUGGAAAAAUUGGAAGAUUCAUGCCAUAGGAGUCAUGCCAUAGAAG